UACGAGAGGCCCAAACGUUAUUCGGAUUUACUGGGCUUAAAGAGUUCGUAGGCGGUUCGGCAAGUGAGGUGUGAAAGCCCUCGGCUCAACCGAGGAAUUGCGCUUCAAACUGCCGGGCUCGAGGGAGAUAGAGGUGAGCGGAACUGAUGGUGGAGCGGUGAAAUGCGUUGAUAUCAUCAGGAACACCAGAGGCGAAGGCGGCUCACUGGGUCUCUUCUGACGCUGAGGAACGAAAGCUAGGGGAGCAAACGGG
rnacentral:rRNA from 1 species